GUUUAUAGUUUCUCGGUUUCGAUUUCAGUAUCGCAUAGGAAGUUGUCGCGAGCGCUUGCUUAGUAGAGCUUGUUCGAGUAGUAAAUAAAAGGAAUGCAAAGGCAAACGUUUGCCGCAACGCAAAAUUCACUCACCCACAAUACAAAUGCAAUUUUGAGCAAAGAAAGGCACAACGAAUGUUGUCAAUUCUUGCUUUCGUCGCACGUUCAGUGAUUGUCAAUUAACUUUAAUGGUGAUACAUAAAUAAAUAAACAAAAAAAAAAAACAUUACUCAAUCAUAAAUAACCAUAAAGUGUUGAAGUUAUUAGAAUUUCAAGUGCAAGUGCUCCAGCUGUUAACGACAACAAAAAAGAACGGCUGAUGAAAUGUAUUAGUGCUGCUCCGACGGAUGUGCGAAAUUGUAGUUUGUAGCGAGCACGAAGCGGUGCCUUGUCAAUUGGAACUCUAAAAGAAUAAAAAAUCUUAGUAUUCAAAUUAAAAAUCGAAUCAAAAUUAAAUCAAGUCCGCGUGCAGUUUAUAUUCGUGCUACAACAACAACCACAUCAACAACAAUUACAAUCUGUGGAGUUGGCGAUUCAGCUUUAAAGCUCUGUAACCAGGCUUUGCCAGAAAUGUGAUCCAUUCAAAUUGGAUUCGUGCGCUUUCGCUUUUCUACAUGUGUACAUAUUUACCUACUCGCGCGUAUACAUAUGAGUAAUUGCAUGCAUGAAUGUGUCGUCUAGUUUGGAACAGUGUUAGUAGUGUAUUUUCUAGCAAUCGCAACAAUAGUUGUCGGACCCGGAUCCAGCUGGCGGAAAUUCGCGUUUUCUUGUCACCAUUGUCGUCGCCAUCAUCGACUCUAUCAAUGCUGUUAACACAGCGUUAAAGUCGAGUAGGAAGAGUGUUUGCCUCGUUGUCUGCAGUAAUGCUUGCGAGUGCUUACAUAUGUCCUUGAAAGCGGUAUUAUUAUCAUUUAGUGAUAGCCAUAGCUAUAUCCCCAGACUUAGUGUGCAUAGUUAACCGCCAACCAGACGCGCAUUUGUUGUGCUAGCUCAACGCAACCCUGCUGAAGUAAAGUCGAUCAAUUUUUUUCUGAACGCAGCAUCCCUUUAAUAAAAAAAAUUAUCGCCGAAAUGGAUAUGAAAUUGGAUUUAGUAAAUCAGUCGCAGGAGAUGAGCACCGGCUCGCCGUCGGAGGUGCCAAAUGAUCCAGGGAAAAUGUUUAUCGGCGGAUUAAGUUGGCAAACCAGCCCAG